CAAGCAGUGGCAUACACAUUUUUUUUUAAAAAAGAACUACACUUUCUGUUUAUAACUUGCGUUAUUUUGUGUAUAUUUUGGUAUUCCUUGAAUAAGUGCUAUUGAAAUAAUGAGUAAGCGUGUUUAUCCGACAUACUUGACUGCUGGUGCGAAGAAAAAAAAGACUUUGAAUAAUCCAGAUUUAGUGGGGUCAUUUGAUAACAGUAAUACAGAAUCUGCCUUGACAUAUUUAAAGAUAUUAUUUCCAGUUCUAACAAUUCGUCAUUUGCCGCCAGUUUUUCUCGUUCAUCAGUUAUAUAGUUUGAUCAGUAACAAAAGUUUGGUUGAUGAAGAUUUGAAUCGCUUGCAGUCUGAGGGUAAAUUGCACCUGUUUGAGUUGGGAGUAGAAGAAAAGUUCUUGAUGGUAUCAUUUUUGGAUGACUUCAGGAAUUGUGCGAGAAAGAACUGCUCUGCAAAGCCAGUCCUUGACAAAUUCUUGGAUGUUAUUUUACCAGAAGUACAGGAUGUCCGCAUUGACAGAGCUUCUCUUACAGAGAAGUAUGGUUUAUCUGGUAGUGAAAUACAAGACUUAGUUGAUGCUCAAUUACUGACCAUUGGUUCUGCAGGAAUUCAUGGGUUUUCUUUCCCAUUUGUAAAUCAGUACUUGCAGAUGUUGAAAAAGGGAAGACAGACCAUCCUGAAAUCCAUCAGAAAGAAUAAAGGUGGUCAAGUUCUAGUGAAAGUGCUGAGAAACAACAAAUUCGAAAAGACUGCUCAGUUGGGAUUGGAAUAUCAUUUACAUGAUCUUAUAGGGACAGGGCGUGUAACACGCUUCAGUACUCCACGAGGAACUGUGGUGAAAUUUGUCAAAACUGAAUAAUAAACUCCCAAAUAUAACACACAAGCAUGAUUUUUGGUAAAUCUUCUCAAUAUGUAUGCAAGAUAACAAUUAUAUGUGUUAAACUUCAAAAUCACUACAGUUCAAUUUUGUUAUGUGAUCAUAGUGCAAAAUAUUUGGAUGGAAAUUUUUCCAGGAAUGGACAGAAAUCGUACAUAAUUUUUUUUUAGCUCAGUCGGUUAGACACCCAAAUAGAUAAGAUAGCUAGCUAUAGCAUGUCUCAUUCUUAGUGUGAAUGGUGCAUUUUAAUGGGUCAUUUACUUUCUCUUUCUAAUGCACAAUAACUACUAUUAGCACUGUUAUUGUUUUGGUGUGUUCUGUUGCCAUAUAUAUUAAAUAUAUUAUAUAUUGAAUACCGGAUAUAUUAAUAUAAUAUUUUUUAAUGUACUUAAAAAAAUGUUAUUUUAUAAAAGAAAAUUUGGAUUGAGAGUUUUGGAAAUAAAUUUUCUUGUA